rnacentral:rRNA from 1 species
GGAUAUGACCAGAGGACGCAUGUUCUGCUGGUGGAAAGUUUUUUCGAUCGGGGAUGGGCUCGCGGGCCUAUCAGCUUGUUGGUGGGGUAAUGGCCUACCAAGGCGACGACGGGUAGCCGGCCUGAGAGGGCGACCGGCCACACUGGGACUGAGACACGGCCCAGACUCCUACGGGAGGCAGCAGUGGGGGAAUAUUGCACAAUGGGGGAAACCCUGAUGCAGCGACGCAGCGUGCGGGAUGACGGCCUUCGGGUUGUAAACCGCUUUCAGCAGGGAAGAAGCGAAAGUGACGGUACCUGCAGAAGAAGUACCGGCUAACUACGUGCCAGCAGCCGCGGUAAUACGUAGGGUACGAGCGUUGUCCGGAAUUAUUGGGCGUAAAGAGCUCGUAGGUGGUUGGUCACGUUUGCUGUGGAAACGCAACGCUUAACGUUGCGCGGGCAGUGGGUACGGGCUGACUAGAGUGCAGUAGGGGAGUCUGGAAUUCCUGGUGUAGCGGUGAAAUGCGCAGAUAUCAGGAGGAACACCGGUGGCGAAGGCGGGACUCUGGGCUGUAACUGACACUGAGGAGCGAAAGCAUGGGGAGCGAACAGGAUUAGAUACCCUGGUAGUCCAUGCCGUAAACGUUGGGCACUAGGUGUGGGGGACAUUCCACGUUCUCCGCGCCGUAGCUAACGCAUUAAGUGCCCCGCCUGGGGAGUACGGUCGCAAGGCUAAAACUCAAAGGAAUUGACGGGGGCCCGCACAAGCGGCGGAGCAUGCGGAUUAAUUCGAUGCAACGCGAAGAACCUUACCAAGGCUUGACAUACACCGGACCGGGCUGGAAACAGUCUUUCCCUUUUUGGGCUGGUGUACAGGUGGUGCAUGGU